rnacentral:rRNA from 1 species
GAUCCUGGCUCAGGACGAACGCUGGCGGCGUGCUUAACACCAUGCAAGUCGAACGAAGCUUGAUUACGGAUUCUUCGGAUGAAGUAUGAUAUGACUGAGUGGCGGACGGGUGAGUAACGCGUGAGUAACCUGCCCUUCAGAGGGGGAUAGCGUUUGGAAACGAACGGUAAUACCGCAUAAUGUAUUUUGACCGCAUGAUCGAAAUACCAAAGAUUUAUCGCUGAAGGAUGGACUCGCGU